rnacentral:rRNA from 1 species
AGGUGAACCUGCGGAAGGAUCAUUAUAGAAAUAAAACUGAACAGGCUGUUUGCUGGUCCUCUCGAGGGCAUGUGCACGCCUGUCGUCUUUAUUCUUCCAACCGUGCACAUAUUGUAGGCCUGGAGUUUUUUCUUAUCGUUCGAAUAGAUUGAGGACUGCCGUCGAGGCUUUGCCUUGUGAUUCCAGGUCUAUGUUGUAAUACAUUUUCACAACGUGUUUAAGAAUGUCGAGUACUGGGGAUAACAAAUAUACAACUUUCAGCAACGGAUCUCUUGGCUCUCGCAUCGAUGAAGAACGCAGCGAAAUGCGAUAAGUAAUGUGAAUUGCAGAAUUCAGUGAAUCAUCGAAUCUUUGAACGCAUCUUGCGCUCCUUGGUAUUCCGAGGAGCAUGCCUGUUUGAGUGUCAUCAAAAGUUCUCAACCAUGCUGGUUCUUCUGGUGUGGCUUGGAUUUGGGGGUUUUUGCAGGCUUUGAACCAAAGUCAGCUCCCCUUGAAAGGAUUAGUGGUAACCAGAGUACCUUUGGGUGUGAUAAUUAUCUAUGCCUUGAUGCGUACUGUGUGUGAGCUGCUUCCAACCGAGUGUUGACAAAUUUGACCUCAAAUCAGGUAGGACUACCCGCUGAACUUAAGCAUAUCAAUAAGCGGAGGAAAAGAAACUAACAAGGAUUCCCCUAGUAACUGCGAGUGAAGCGGGAAGAGCUCAAAUUUAAAAUCUGGCGGUUCUUGAC